CGUUAGCGGCGGGCUUAACACAUGCAAGUCGAACGAGAAAGUACCCUUCGGGGUGCGAGUAAAGUGGCGCACGGGUGAGUAACACGUGGGUAACCUACCCUAUCGGCGCGGGACAACAGCUCGAAAGGGCUGCUAAUACCGCAUAAGCUGGUGACGGCCACGGCUGUUAUCAGGAAAGGAUGGCCUCUACUUGUAAGCUAUCGCCGGAGGACGGGCCCGCGGCCCAUCAGCUUGUUGGUGAGGUAAUGGCUCACCAAGGCUAAGACGGGUAGCUGGUCUGAGAGGAUGAUCAGCCACACUGGGACUGAGACACGGCCCAGACUCCUACGGGAGGCAGCAGUGGGGAAUAUUGGACAAUGGGCGCAAGCCUGAUCCAGCCACGCCGCGUGUGUGAUGAAGGCCCUCGGGUCGUAAAGCACUGUGGAGGGGGACGAACAAGCAGAGGGAAUAAUACCCCGCUGCCCUGACGGUACCCCUUUAGCAAGCACCGGCUAACUCCGUG
rnacentral:rRNA from 1 species